UCGCUGCAGGCGAUACACGGUCUGUGGCUGAGCGAAAGCAUUAAGUGACCCACCUGGGGAGUACGUUCGCAAGAAUGAAACUCAAAGGAAUUGACGGGGGCCCGCACAAGCGGUGGAGCAUGUGGUUUAAUUCGAUGAUACGCGAGGAACCUUACCAAGGCUUAAAUGUAGAUUGACAGGGGUGGAAACACCUCCUUCUUCGGACAAUUUACAAGGUGCUGCAUGGUUGUCGUCAGCUCGUGCUGUGAAGUGUCGGGUUAAGUCCCAUAACGAGCGCAACCCCUAUCUUCAGUUGCCAGCGGGUAAUGCCGGGGACUCUGGAGAAACUGCCACCGUAAGGUGAGAGGAAGGUGGGGAUGACGUCAAAUCAUCACGGCCCUUACGUCUUGGGCUACACACGUGCUACAAUGGUCGGUACAGAGGGCAGCCACCCCGCGAGGGGGCGCAAAUCUCCAAAACCGAUCUCAGUUCGGAUCGAAGUCUGCGACUCGACUUCGUGAAGCUGGAAUCGCUAGUAAUCGGAUAUCAGCCAUGAUCCGGUGAAUACGUUCCCGGGCCUUGUACACACCGCCCGUCAAGCCAUGGAAGCUGGGGGUACCUGAAGUCGGUCACCGCAAGGAGCUGCCUAGGGUAAAACUAGUAACUGGGGCU
rnacentral:rRNA from 1 species